AAGGCGGGACAUUCCGUCGCCUCCCGAAAGGGGGGAGGAAAGUCCGGACAGCACAGGGCGCCUCCCUGCGGAAAGCGCAGAAGGGAGUAAUCUUUUGGUCGGCGUAACAGAAAACAACCGCCUCACCGGGCAGAAAUGCCUUUGAGGUAAGGGUGAAAACGCGAGGCAAGAGCUCACGACCGGCGUCGGCGACGCCGCCGGGGUACGCUCCGGAGGGCUGCAAGACCAAAUAUACCGGCAGAUGAGGGCUGCCCGCCCGAUGCCGGGGGGUAGGUUGCAUCAGAUAAAUGACGGAAGCCCGGCCCGCGCCGGGAACAGAAUUCGGCUUACCGUCCCGCCUUUUUU
rnacentral:RNase_P_RNA from 1 species